CUCGGCUCUCAUGUUGUUCAGCAGGACGGUGAGGUCCACGCCCGGGGCCGCGUUCAUCUCCACAUUCACGUUACCUCCGGCUGCGCACUGCAGAACCUUCAUUUCCUAAAGUGAAAUGCAAGCGACUGUCCACAUGCCAUCUGAGAAGGGUUUAGAGGUCCCAAAGUCCCCAGAGUGAUGAAUAAUUUAUGGGUGCUAUUUUGUCUGUGUUCAAGGCUGUCGUCCAUCCAUUCAUCCAUCUUCCUUCCUUCCUUCUUUCCGUCUAUCCAUCCUUGUUUUUAUGAGACAGAAUCUCACUCUGGAGCCCAGACUAAGCUGGAACUCACUAUGUAACCCAGGCUGGACCUUGAAUUAGGGAAUUAUCCUGCUUCAGCUUCCAAAAAGCUGGGAUUAUAAAGUUGAACCAGCAGGUAAUGGCUCACGUCUUUAAUCCCAGCACUUGGGAGACAGAGGAAAACCCAGCCUCCGCCUGCCCCCAAUCCCAGCCACUGUGGAAUUUCACCCAAGGGAUGCUAAUAGCCAUUUAUUUGAAUGACCAUUGCUCAGACGCUGCUCUGAGCAAGUGCUACAAGUCUGAGCAUCCUUAUGAGACAGGCACUCCCUUCACAGAUGAGGGGAGUGGAGCACAGAGAGGAGAAGACAGCUGCCUAAGUUGCUCACUGGGAUCUGGCCAGAGGCAGAAUGGACUGGACUCCCGACUCCUGUUCUUAGCGGCUACACCGUUCAGCUGUGGCAUCUAUCCCAGUCCACUGAGUAGCUGAUCUUUUCAUUUGGAUCUCACAGUGUUAAUAUCUCAGGUUUCUCCCCUAUCCCAGGACAGGGACUUGCUAUGUAGCCCAGACUGGCCUCCAGGUCCCAUGCCCCUGCCUGCCUCCACCUCCCAAGUGCCUCAGGUAUGUACUGCCAUGCCUGGCUGACUUUUGUUUCCUUAAACUAGAAUCUGACUUCUUAGUUAAGAUUUCUCUCUCUCUCUCUCUCUCUCUCUCUCUCUCUCUCUCUCCCUCUCCUUUUUCUCUCUAUCCGUUCCUCCUCUCUAUCUAUCUAUCUAUCUAUCUAUCUAUCUAUCUAUCUAUCUAUCCAUCCAUCCAUGUGUAUAGAUCUCCCCUAAAAAGCUACUCUUAAUGUAUUUCUGUAUUUUAAAAUUUUCUGUAAGAUUCCAUACGAAGGAAAAUUCUUGUCGCUGUGGAUUUUCAAAAAUCAAACUAUCAAACUAGUUGCAGUUAGACUGAUGGCACCUGCCACAGAGAGUGUGGUAAAUGCUCUCAGGGUGGCACAAUGCAAGUGCUUUUUCUACCCCACCCUCAGUGCCAUCAAAGCUGCCUUCUUUCCGUGGCUGUGCCUUUAAGAAGACAUGGAUCCUGUAGUGUUUCCAGUCCUUCCCUGGGGCUUGUCAUUCCUUCCCUUCCCUCUCCUGGUUUCCUUGGUGUGUGUGUGUGUGUGUGUGUGUGUGUGUGUGUGUGUGUGUGUGUGUGAUCACUGUCCUGCCAAACAUCCCUGGGGCCUUCUGGUGCUGUGCUGUACAAAUCCCCCCCCUUCCCCUCUGUCUCUAUCUAUGUCUGUCUCGUAACUCUUCUUGCUCUCUAGCGCUCUCUUUCUGUCUCCUAACUUUCCUUCCUCUAAUGUUCUCGUGGGAGGCAAGUAGAUUCUGUGUGUGGUCUCCGUGAGUCCGGAUUCGUGCUGGAACAGCAACAACCUCCCUCCCUAGACUUUUCACGGGCAGAGCUGUGUUGGUUAGAGGGAAGCUUCUCCUACCUCUUCGUGGUUCUUCUUGAGGCAGACGUGGAGAAGCAAGGGCAGCUUUUUCCAAGGACGGAAGGCAUAGGUAACGUUCUCACUUAAUUGUUAUUUUUCUAACAGAAAUCCUUUCAUUCCUUUAGGCUGUAAUUUUACUUGAGAUGAAAAUGAACUUUUUUUUUUGCAACAUUAACACAUAGGGGCUCAGUUUCGGGGCCACGACUGUCACUGUCACUUACUUUAGUCUGAAAUCGUCAGCAGCCAGUCUGGCAUUAUCAAUCUGCAGAAUUAUAUUAGCGUUAGCAGCCGUGGAAGAGAUGACCUAGAGGAAAUUAAAAGGAAGUUAACAGAAAUAACCUUGCUUUUGUUAUUUAUUACUUAGAAAAUAAUCAAGCCCCUGCAUCUGUUUUUUAGACUUAUGCAAUUAUCAGAAUGUUUAUAAUUUAAUUUUAAAAGAGUAAUGUUUUAAAUUCAUUCUCAGAUAAUUGCAUAAUUUUUAGAAUAUAAUGAUUUAUUAUCUAUAAGUGCAUUUCAAAGUACACAGUGGGAUUAGUCUUUUAGCUACAUUGAAAGUAUUGAAUCAAGGCUCCUAAUUUUGAGUAACGGGAAGAAUUAUUUAUUAAAAUUAAAUGCAAGUUAGAGAACAGCCACGAAGCAUUUCCCUUUGUGGUUUUAUAUACUUUUGCCGAAAGUUAUUAAGUUUUAACUACUUGGCCAGUUUCAAGUUUGUGACCUUACCUUGCUUUUAAGGUCCUCAAUGGUUAGAUGAUAAUUGCUGUAGUCACGGUCAAGCCCACGGCAAGAUCCGGGUCCGUAUUUCUCAUGCCAAGUUUUGAUCUUUCUCUCUAGUUCAGUGUUCGCUUCCUCCAGAGCUUUCACAUUAUCCAGGUAAGAGGCCAAGCGGUUGUUGAGAUUCUGCAUGGUGACCUUCUCGUUUCCAGAGAGGAGCCCUCCUUCACUUCCAGCGAAGCCAACACAAGUGACAUUUCCCAGGGCACCAGUAGCGUGGCUCCCACCAGGAGCACUGCACAGUGUCCCUCCCAAGGCCCAAGAAAAUCCACUACCAGCAACUGAACCGCCGGCCGCACUGCUCCCAGCAAAGCCUGCGCCUCCGCUGGGCGGCCUGAGGGAUCCUGACUGUAGGCCAGCGUGCCUGGAUCCGCCAGAAAACCGGAGAGACAUGGUGCCAGGCAAACGUUCCACGGGUCCGCGGGCAGUUGUAAUUUCAAAGGAACGUUGCCUGCUUGUGGGUUCUUUGAGCUUUUAUACACGGUUGUGGGGGCCGUCUCGAGUUGAGUGGUGUCUGCUGAGAGAGAAAUGGCAUCAUUUAGAUUAGCAUGAAAUGAUGCAUAAUUGGGUGAUUUAAAAAGUAAUUAAUGCCUAGCAACCCCCCCACCCCCCAUAGCUUCAGGUUAUUUGUUAUCGUACACAAAGUAGGGUUUAGUUCUAUAUUAAGCUCAUUAUUUUGACUUUUAAUUUUGAAUGACUAAUCCUUUUCUUUCAUCCAGAGACCCUGUGAACACGCUGUCAUUAUCCCGUACAGGGGCUGAUCCAGUGUCACAGGCUAAGUGAGACAGAGACAGGCCCUGUCUUCCUGGUUUACUAUGCAGGUGGAUGAAGGACUAUUAGCUACGGAAACAGGAUCUUACUAUUGACCAGGCCUGGAAUUUGCCAUGUAUCUCAGGCUGAUCAAAGAAGGCAAUGCCAAACACCCGAGGCUGGCUGUUUUAUAAAGAAAAGAGAUCUCUCUAACUGACAGUUUUGGAAACUGAGAAUCUGUGAUUGGGCAGCACCAUCUUUUCAGCUUCUGGUGACGGUCCCUUUGUCUUCAUCACAAUGUGGUAGAGAAACGGGAAGGGAAAAGCUUCUGAAGAAGAAGCAAAUACUUGGGGAUGGCUUUGCUUUAAAACAGCCCUUCCACAAGAGCUGAUUGGGUCCCACAAGCAAAACUGUGUGAGUCCUUUUUGAGGCAGAGUCCCUAAUGAACACUGAGCCAAUUGCCUUCCGCGGCGUGUAACCUCUGAAAGGUUCCACUCCCUCAAAGCCAUCACCUGGAGACCAAGUUUCCAGCACAGAAACCUCAAGACAUACGCAAACCACAUUCAAACUUUAGCAACUGGAGAGGGGAGACCAAUGUACAGAAUUUUAAAAUAGGUAGAUGCCGUUCAAAUCCAGAAACCAGCCACAGGGACUGGGCUCAACGGAUAUGGGCUAUGGAACGAGGAACAAGUGGACCAUGAUGUUAAGUGGACAUGGAAUCGUGAUGUCGGAGGUGAGAGAAAUGGACCUGCAGCCAGUUGCUGAUAUCCUUUGAUGAUGGGCUGACAAGAGUAUGUGGUAAGGGGCAUUUGGGUGCCAUCUUCUGUAAAAGCAUUUUAGCAUAUCACAAAACAAAACCAAUGAGACCCUACAUCAAACAAAGUUGAAGGUUAGGGUUGACACUGGAAGUUGUCUUCUGACCUCUAUAUGGAGGGCAUAGCAUUGCACAGAUACAGACAUAGACACACAGACACACACAACACACACACACACACACACACACACACACACACAAAUAAAUUGAAAAA